rnacentral:rRNA from 1 species
GAUGAACGCCAGCUACAGGCUUAACACAUGCAAGUCGAGGGGUAACGAGAGGAAAGCUUGCUUUCCUUGUCGACGACCGGCGCACGGGUGAGUAACGCGUAUCCAACCUGCCCCCAACUAAGGAAUAACCUUGCGAAAGUAAGACUAAUACCUUAUAAUUUCCUCAGAUGUCAUCUGACGAGGAAUAAAGAUUUAUCGGUUGUGGAUGGGGAUGCGUCGGAUUAGCUUGUUGGCGGGGUAACGGCCCACCAAGGCAACGAUCAGUAGGGGUUUUGAGAGGAAGGUCCCCCACAUUGGAACUGAGACACGGUACAAACUCCUACGGGAGGAAGCAGUGAGGAAUAUUGGUCAAUGGGCGGAAGCCUGAACCAGCCAAGUAGCGUGCAGGAUGACGGCCCUAUGGGUUGUAAACUGCUUUUACACAGGAAUAAAGUUAGCCACGUGUGGUUAUUUGUAGGUACUGUAUGAAUAAGGACCGGCUAAUUCCGUGCCAGCAGCCGCCGUAA